GGGCCCGCACAAGCGGUGGAGCAUGUGGUUUAAUUCGAUGAUACGCGAGGAACCUUACCAGGGCUUAAAUGUAGUAUGACCGGUCUAGAAAUAGGCCUUCCCUUCGGGGCAGAUUACAAGGUGCUGCAUGGUUGUCGUCAGCUCGUGCCGUGAGGUGUUAGGUUAAGUCCUGCAACGAGCGCAACCCCUAUUCUUAGUUGCCAGCGGUUCGGCCGGGGACUCUAAGAAGACUGCCAGCGCAAGCUGAGAGGAAGGUGGGGAUGACGUCAAAUCAUCACGGCCCUUACGUCCUGGGCUACACACGUGCUACAAUGGUACAGACAGAGGGCAGCCACCUGGCGACAGGGAGCGAAUCCUUAAACUGUAUCUCAGUUCGGAUCGGAGUCUGCAACUCGACUCCGUG
rnacentral:rRNA from 1 species